rnacentral:tRNA from 1 species
AGCGCAUUUUCGAUGCAGCGCGAAACGACCUGUUCGUCGGGCUGGGAUGAACCCAUAGGGAUGCGCAGCGCAUCUGGUUUAGGACCAGAGGGCCGAAGGUUUAAUUCCUUUCGGGCCGACCA